GACGAACGCUGGCGGCGUGCUUAACACAUGCAAGUCGAACGCUGAAGCUUGGUGCUUGCACUGGGUGGAUGAGUGGCGAACGGGUGAGUAAUAAGUGAGUAACCUGCCCUUGACUCUGGGAUAAGCCUGGGAAACUGGGUCUAAUACUGGAUACGACAUGUCACCGCAUGGUGGUGUGUGGAAAGGGUUUUACUGGUUUUGGAUGGGCUCACGGCCUAUCAGCUUGUUGGUGGGGUAAUGGCUCACCAAGGCGACGACGGGUAGCCGGCCUGAGAGGGUGACCGGCCACACUGGGACUGAGACACGGACCAGACUCCUACGGGAGGCAGCAGUGGGGAAUAUUGCACAAUGGGCGGAAGCCUGAUGCAGCGACGCCGCGUGAGGGAUGACGGCCUUCGGGUUGUAAACCUCUUUCAGCACGGAAGAAGCGAAAGUGACGGUACGUGCAGAAGAAGCGCCGGCUAACUACGUG
rnacentral:rRNA from 1 species